rnacentral:rRNA from 1 species
UACGUAGGCAGCGAGCGUUGUUCGGAGUUACUGGGCGUAAAGGGUGUGUAGGCGGUUGUUUAAGUUUGGUGUGAAAUCUCCCGGCUCAACUGGGAGGGUGCGCCGAAUACUGAAUGACUUGGAGUGCGGGAGAGGAAAGUGGAAGUUCCUGGUGUAGCGGUGAAAUGCGUAGAUAUCAGGAGGAACACCGGUGGUGUAGACGGCUUUCUGGACCGUAACUGACGCUGAGACACGAAAGCGUGGGUAGCAAACAGG